rnacentral:rRNA from 1 species
UACAUGGGGUGCAAACGUUGCUCGGAAUUAUUGGGCGUAAAGCGCACGUAGGCGGUUCGUUAAGUCGGAUGUGAAAGCCCUUGGCUUAACCGAGGAAGUGCAUCCGAAACUGGCGAGCUAGAGUACGAAAGAGGAUCGCGGAAUUCCCGGUGUAGAGGUGAAAUUCGUAGAUAUCGGGAGGAACACCUGUGGCGAAAGCGGCUCACUGGACCAUUACUGACGCUGAUGCUCGAAAGCUAGGGGAGCAAACAGG